CCUACGGGUGGCAGCAGUGGGGAAUAUUGCACAAUGGGGGAAACCCUGAUGCAGCGACGCCGCGUGAGUGAUGAAGUAUUUCGGUUUGUAAAGCUCUAUCAGCAGGGAAGAAAAUGACGGUACCUGAUGAAGAAGCCCCGGCUAACUACGUGCCAGCAGCCGCGGUAAUACGUAGGGGGCAAGCGUUCUCCGGAUUUACGGGGUGUAAAGGGGGCGGAGGCGGUUGUGCAAGUCAGAAGUGAAAGCCCAGGGCUCAACCUCGGGACUGCUCUUGAAACUGCGUGGCUAGAGUGCAGGAGAGGCAGGCGGAAUUCCUGGUGUAGCGGUGAAAUGCGUAGAUAUUAGGAGGAACACCAGUGGCGAAGGCGGCUUACUGGACUGUAACUGACGUUGAGGCUCGAAAGCGUGGGGAGCAAACAGGAUUAGAUACCCUUGUAGUC
rnacentral:rRNA from 1 species